rnacentral:rRNA from 1 species
UCGGGAAUUUUGGGCAAUGGGCGAAAGCCUGACCCAGCAACGCCGCGUGAAGGAUGAAGUAUUUCGGUAUGUAAACUUCGAAAGAAUAGGAAGAAUAAAUGACGGUACUAUUUAUAAGGUCCGGCAAACUUCGUGCCAGCAGCCGCGGUAAUACGAAGGGGGCUAGCGUUGUUCGGAAUUACUGGGCGUAAAGCGCACGUAGGCGGAUUGUUAAGUCAGAGGUGAAAUCCCGGAGCUCAACUUCGGAACUGCCUUUGAUACUGGCAAUCUAGAGUCCGGAAGAGGUUAGUGGAAUUCCCAGUGUAGAGGUGAAAUUCGUAGAUAUUGGGAAGAACACCAGUGGCGAAGGCGGCUAACUGGUCCGGUACUGACGCUGAGGUGCGAAAGCCAGGGGAGCAAACGGGAUUAGAUACCCCCGUAGUCCCUGAGCGGGCUGGCAAGGCGCAU